GUCUUCGGGUUGAUGAGUGCUGUGGAGAUAAAAGAUUUAGUUGAUGCAAGUUUUAAAGGAAAUAUUGUCUUAAUUUUUUUUUUUUUUUUAGGAAAGCACUCGCUACAGUCACUUUCAAGUUUGGCGCAACCAGGCAAGCCACUAGCAGUCAACGGCGGUGGGUGACGUUUGAGAGUUUGAUUACAUGGAAUGCAAGUUUCACACGUCGGAGGGAGACGGUAGAAGACUCACCGGCAUAUUGGCAAUCAGAAUCUCUUUCACACUAAGUCAUUGAAUCAACAACAAACAAUUAGAGAAUCGAGCAGGAAAGAAAAAGCAAGCCUGGGCUAGUAAAUGAUAACUAACCUUCAUGGUUUUGUUCUCCAUUGUCAUGGCAACUGAUAUAAAAAAAAAAGAAGUGGAAAUCCCUGUUUCACCAUCAUCCUACACGGUUAGGAUGUACUGAAAGAUUAGAAUCGUAUCACCUGGGAACAAAAGAUCAACAUCAGAUUAAAGAUUUAAUUAGUCCCACUUAAACAUCCCCAACAAAAAAGGAAACACAUUUGUUGGCUCCACUGAAGGUGAUUGGCCCGCUGGCUACCCUCCAAUCCGGAAGGAAAAAAGGGAAAGGUACGGAAAAACAAGUGAGUCAUCGCCCAAAAAUGUUUUGAUGACCCAUUUUUCUACUUUUACCGUGGAGACGGAUUGGCCUUCAGCAACGAGGCAUUUCAAAUUCAGAUGAUGAAAUCAUUUUCUCGUUUUCUAUUCUCCAUUUCAAAACUUUCGUAAUGGCUUUGGGAGAUAACGUCUUACACUAUCUGUCAACGAAAUCCUUACGCAGUCAGGUUUUUCAGAAAGAAGGGGAGCGAUGAGCAAGGCACUUGUGAACUAGUAGGGGUCAGGAACAAAAUGGGUGUGUCAAAGGAACUAGUUUUCUUUUCGUCACAAGUACGUGAGCAAUAAAUUCCGGAAGCUGUGACGUGCGAUGAGAAGGAACUGUUAAAGGGCAUCGUCUGUGGGGAACUCUUUAACAAUUUUGAUAAAUUCGUCCUUCAGGUUACAGGAAAAGAUGUACCUCAAUACAUAACAUCAGUCGAAGAAGCCGGCCUGCGCCAACUACCACUUCAAAACAUAAAAAAUUCUGGCUACAUAAAACCAACACCUGUUCAGAAAGCUUCAGU